GUAAUCGACAGUAAUUAAACAACUUCUCGUCCGAUCACCGAAGUUAAGCAACGUCGAGCCCGGUUAGUACUUGGAUGGGUGACCAACUGGGAAUACCGUGUGUCGUAGACA
rnacentral:rRNA from 1 species